rnacentral:rRNA from 1 species
UCAGCCCUAAACACAAAUAAUUUUAAAAACAAAAUUAUUCGCCAGAGUACUACCGGCAACAGCCUAAAACUCAAAGGACUUGGCGGUGCUUUAUACCCUUCUAGAGGAGCCUGUUCUAUAAUCGAUAAACCCCGAUAGACCUCACCAAUUCUUGCUAAUACAGUCUAUAUACCGCCAUCUUCAGCAAACCCUAAAAAGGAACAAAAGUAAGCGCAAUCAUAACACAUAAAAACGUUAGGUCAAGGUGUAACCUAUGAAAUGGGAAGAAAUGGGCUACAUUUUCUACUUCAAGAAAACCCACAUACGAAAGUUAUUAUGAAACUAAUAACCAAAGGAGGAUUUAGUAGUAAACUAAGAAUAGAGUGCUUAGUUGAACUAGGCCAUGAAGCACGC